GACGAACGCUGGCGACGUGCCUAAUACAUGCAAGUAGAACGCUGAAGGAGGAGCUUGCUUCUCCGGAUGAGUUGCGAACGGGUGAGUAACGCGUAGGUAACCUGCCUGGUAGCGGGGGAUAACUAUUGGAAACGAUAGCUAAUACCGCAUAAGAGUAGAUGUUGCAUGACAUUUACUUAAAAGGUGCAAUUGCACCACUACCAGAUGGACCUGCGUUGUAUUAGCUAGUUGGUGGGGUAACGGCUCAUCAAGGCGACGAUACAUAGCCGACCUGAGAGGGUGAUCGGCCACACUGGGACUGAGACACGGCCCAGACUCCUACGGGAGGCAGCAGUAGGGAAUCUUCGGCAAUGGACGGAAGUCUGACCGAGCAACGCCGCGUGAGUGAAGAAGGUUUUCGGAUCGUAAAGCUCUGUUGUAAGAGAAGAACGAGUGUGAGAGUGGAAAGUUUCACACUGUGAC
rnacentral:rRNA from 1 species